rnacentral:lncRNA from 1 species
GAAUAGAGAGAAUAUGCAAGCUUUCAUUCACGGGUAGGCAUGCAAAAUAUUCGGUGGGUACACGAGUGCGCUUUGGUCAGGAUAAAAAGAAGGAAAAUCCUCACAUCCACAUGAGUUAUAAAAAUAGACACAUAGGCAUUAUAGUUGGAGAAAACAGUCGGUUAGCAACUGGAAACACACCCAUGUUCACUAAAGCGUGGGCCUCUUCCAGAUAUUCAUCUCCUGCCUGUGUUGUAUGCAAGAUGAAAUGCACCUAGCUUUGCUGACAAAUGGGUUCGAUAAGAGCGCACAAUCUUGUCGAUGACCCCGUAGCAAGUGCAGCUUACCAAAGUUUCAUUUCGCACCCAGGAACAUGAAAGCGGGAUCUUCAAAUUCUGUAUUCCCUCGCCUCCCCCCCUAAAAAAUAAUAAAAACAUGGCUACCGUAGUGCCCCUCCAAAUUCCCGCCUUGUAUUUCCAAAAUCAGUACUCUCC